CCUACGGGCGGCAGCAGUGGGGAAUAUUGGACAAUGGGCGAAAGCCUGAUCCAGCCAUGCCGCGUGUGUGAAGAAGGCCUUCGGGUUAUAAAGCACUUUCAGUGGGGAAGAAAGCCUUGGGGCUAAUACCCUCGAGGAAGGACAUCACCCACAGAAGAAGCACCGGCUAACUCCGUGCCAGCAGCCGCGGUAAUACGGAGGGUGCGAGCGUUAAUCGGAAUUACUGGGCGUAAAGCGCGCGUAGGCGGUCUGAUAAGCCGGUUGUGAAAGCCCCGGGCUCAACCUGGGAACGGCAUCCGGAACUGUCAGGCUAGAGUGCAGGAGAGGAAGGUAGAAUUCCCGGUGUAGCGGUGAAAUGCGUAGAGAUCGGGAGGAAUACCAGUGGCGAAGGCGGCCUUCUGGACUGACACUGACGCUGAGGUGCGAAAGCGUGGGUAGCAAACAGGAUUAGAUACCCCAGUAGUC
rnacentral:rRNA from 1 species